rnacentral:rRNA from 2 species
CACGCCGUAAACGAUGGGUACUAGGUGUAGGAGGUAUCGACCCCUUCUGUGCCGUCGUUAACACAAUAAGUACCCCGCCUGGGGAGUACGGUCGCAAGACUAAAACUCAAAGGAAUUGACGGGGGCCCGCACAAGCAGCGGAGCAUGUGGUUUAAUUCGAAGCAACGCGAAGAACCUUACCUAGACUUGACAUCUCCUGAAUUACCCUUAACCGGGGAAGCCCUUCGGGGCAGGAAGACAGGUGG